rnacentral:rRNA from 1 species
UACAGAGGUCCCGAGCGUUGUUCGGAUUCACUGGGCGGAAAGGGUGCGUAGGUGGCCUGAAAAGUUUGAUGUGAAAGCUCAGGGCUUAACCCUGAAAUGGCAUUGAAUACUGUCGGGCUGGAGGUUUGGAGGGGGGACUGGAAUUCUUGGUGUAGCAGUGAAAUGCGUAGAUAUCAAGAGGAACACCAGUGGCGAAGGCGAGUCCCUGGACAACACCUGACACUGAGGCACGAAAGCUAGGGGAGCAAACAGG